GCCCUAACACUUGACAAGUCGAGCGCUCUCUUCGGGAGGGAGCGGCGGACGGGUGAGUACAGGAACGUGCCCUUCUCUAUGGAAUAGCCACUGGAAACGGUGAGUAAUACCAUAUACGCCCUUCGGGGGAAAGAUUUAUCGGAGAAGGAUCGGCCCGCGUUAGAUUAGGUAGUUGGUGGGGUAAUGGCCUACCAAGCCUACGAUCUAUAGCUGGUUUUAGAGGAUGAUCAGCCACACUGGGACUGAGACACGGCCCAGACUCCUACGGGAGGCAGCAGUGGGGAAUCUUAGACAAUGGGCGCAAGCCUGAUCUAGCCAUGCCGCGUGAGUGAUGAAGGCCUUAGGGUCGUAAAGCUCUUUCGCCAGAGAUGAUAAUGACAGUAUCUGGUAAAGAAACCCCGGGUAACUCCGUGCCAGCAGCCGCGGUAAUACGGAGGGGGUUAGCGUUGUUCCGAAUUACUGGGCGUAAAGCGCACGUAGCGGAUUAGAAAGUUAGGGGUGAAAUCCCGGGGCUCAACCUCGGAACUGCCUCUAAAACUCCUAGUC
rnacentral:rRNA from 1 species